rnacentral:rRNA from 1 species
AUGUUCCAGGAGCUUGCACCACAUGACCCACAUGACAAGUGUGGUCACCACUACGUGAUUUGCCUUGACCUGAAGAACCAACGAUUUGAGGUGCUUGAUUCAAUGCAUUCCGAAGGUGAUGCAGAUCUUACUAUACAUGUUGAAUUCUUCAUCAACAACCUCAAAGAGACAUGGACCCGUCACUAUGAAAACUCAAAGGUCUAG